rnacentral:rRNA from 1 species
GGAUUAGAUACCCUGGUAGUCCACGCCCUAAACGAUGGGUACUAAGUGUGGAGGGGUUAAACCCUCCGUGCCGCAGCAAACGCAGUAAGUACCCCGCCUGGGGAGUACGGCCGCAAGGUUGAAACUCAAAGGAAUUGACGGGGGCCCGCACAAGCGGUGGUGCAUGUGGUUUAAUUCGACGCAACGCGAGGAACCUUACCUAGGCUUGACAUGUGGUGAGUAGCGAACCGAAAGGGGAGCGACCCGUCAAAUC